UACGGAGGAUCCAAGCGUUAUCCGGAUUUAUUGGGCUUAAAGGGUGCGUAGGCGGCUUUUUAAGUCAGGGGUGAAAGACGGUAGCUCAACUAUCGCAGUGCCCUUGAUACUGAAGAGCUUGAAUACACUAGAGGUAGGCGGAAUGUGACAAGUAGCGGUGAAAUGCAUAGAUAUGUCGCAGAACACCAAUUGCGAAGGCAGCUUACUAUGGUGUCAUUGACGCUGAGGCACGAAAGCGUGGGGAUCAAACAGG
rnacentral:rRNA from 1 species